rfam:Proteobacteria bacterium SG_bin9 3509, whole genome shotgun sequence.
GGGAGAUUGGCAGUGGACGAGCCACUCGCCAACCGGGUCAGGUCCGGAAGGAAGCAGCCCUAACGAGAUCCGGGUCGGGUCGCUUGUCAGUCUCCUACU